AACCAAAUUUAGCAUAAAUGGAAAGUCCUAGAAGCUCAACUGAUGAAGUCAGCUUUAGAUCCAUAGCGAUUUCUCGAUACUCCGACUUCUUUGAAACUCUGAUAGACACUGCACCACAUAAACUCUAGUUAAUAUAUUCUCAACGGAGAUUUGAUUUUACAAGAUAAGUGAGAUUGAGUGAAUUUCACUUGGGUGUCAAAAAUUCUCACUGACGCCAUGAAUUCUAACUCAUUGAAGUCUUCUGCAGCUUCAAAUCAGUAACAUCAACUAUCUAAUUUGAGUAGAAUGAGCUUCGAUGAGCGAAUACCACUGCAAAAAGGUCCAUAUCUAAGUGGUACAUCCUCUUUCUUAUGUUUACUGCUACUACCUUCUUUUGCAUUAGUUUCUUACUUAAAGUUAUUGCCCCGUUUGCCUCUAUGUGUGCAUAUGCCUUUGGUUUUGAAAUUUUCUUAUUCAGAGAUUUGGUAUUUGGUAUUUUGUAUUUUUCCAGCUGAAUAAUUUUCUUUGCUUUAGUUGAAACCUCCUAUAGUGAAUUAAAUUGAAUCCUGUUUGUACCUGCAAAAUUGAAAAUAGAGUUGGUGAAAUAAUUCGCCAAACGAAUUUCCCUAUCUGAAUAUGUGUACCACCACCAUAAUAUUAUUCUCCAUUGUGUACUUGAGCAUUUUAAUUUUCAAAACAAUUGUCCAGGGCACCUUUCAUAUACCAUCAGAUAUUUUCUUAAGGAUGAGAGAAUCAAUUUCCAUAAUCACUAGUAGCCGGUUAUGACUUAUGUAGUAUUCCAACCCCAUUCUCAUAGCUACAGCCUCAACUUUAAGCAUUGUUCCAUCCUUAAUUCUCCAUGUUUCACUAAAGACAAAGUCCCUCUCCUUAUUCUUAGUACAAAAUGCACUAGAACUAGACUCAAGAUUUUCUUUACUUGUCAAAAUUACACUUAUAAAAUCCCAAUAUAAUUAAUUGAUAAGAAAUAAUAAGAUUAUACUCCUCAAACAGCUUGACUAACAUAGGCCAAUCAAUAGGAAUAUCCUGCAUUUAAGCAUAUCUGACCUUCGUAAUGAUAUGCAGAUUCCUAUAAAUUUCCAUCGCCAUUGCAUGCGUUGACAUUUUGCCCCCAUUUCUAAUUUUAUUCCUCCUCUUCCUCACCUGCCAGAUAAUAAAAGCUGGUACAACCUUGUAUAAAAGCUUUAAUUUUAUUACAUAAUCUGCAUUUCACCACUUUAGAAUGAUGUCCUUAACCUGCAAAAAUGUUCCAGGUACCUCUACUGCUCCUGCAAAUAUACUCCAUAAAUAAUUAGCAUCAAAACCUCCUGUGAUAAAUGUUUAAAUAUUUUUGGAGCAUACUAUUGCAACAACAACAAACAACUUCGUCAGUCAUUUUGAUUUUUACAGGCACCUUACCAAAGGGAAUUCUAUUCUUCCAAAGUCCUGAAAAAAGGAAAGAGACUUUGAAAGGAAUUCCUUUUUCUCAUAUAUUCAGAAUCAGCUCCUGAGGCUGAGGUUCACUUCUCUGUCUCAUUAGUUCCCAAGAACUUCCUACUGAGAACUUUCCUAUACUAUUGAGCAUCCAUGAAGGUUUGCCAUCAUAUGCAAGUUCCUCUAAUGUCCAUCACCAUUGCAUGCCUUGACAUUUUGCCCCCAUUUGUGAUUUUAUUCCUCCACUUCUACACCUGCCAAAAAAUAAAAGCUGGUACAACCUUGUAUAAAGGCUUUAAUUUGUCACACAAUUUGUAUUCCACCACUUUAGAAUGGUGUCCUUAGCCUAGAAAAAUGGUCCAAGCACCCUUGUUGCUCCUUCAAAUAUACUUCAUAAAUAAUUAGCAUUAGAAUGUCCAAUGAAUAUGUAACACCCUGCAUUUUCGAACUAGAAAUCGAACUGUUGUUCCUACGUGUGUAAGCUCUAAUAGAAAUUAUUUCCAUGUGAGAAUAAGUGUUAUGAUCUUUAUCCUCAUGUUUGAAGUGCUUUCGAGGUGAAAAAUCCUCAUAGAAGUCACUUAGAGCGAAGUUGAGCUAAGAACCUUUGAUUCGGUUAAAUCUUUGUAUUCGAUUUUACAAGGGUUUACUUUGAACGUGUAUAACUUUCAAUACAAGUAGAAUUUUGCAGCUUAAGACCCACAAAAUUGUAGAUAAUUGAGUCAACUUUACAACGAUACCAAUUUUGCCUUAAUUCGAUACCGAGCAAAAAGUUAUAGCCAUUUUCAUUAGAGAGGCAGGUCGCGCGAUUAGCCCACGGGGCGCGCUCCAUUCCACCCCUGAGGGAGCCCGCGAUAGAGCAUGCGACGCACGCUCCAUUUUGGUGCUCUAGAGCAUGCGACACACGCUCCAUAACAUGCUCCCUUAUUUUUCAGUUUCUGUUUCCGCGUAUUUGAGGGCAAUAGGGUUAUCUAACUCACCCAAAACCGUCCAAAACAAGAUUUAAGCCCCCAAAGAGCAUUUAUUGCAUCAUUAUUCUCUUCUCCUCUUCAAGGAAACCCUAAACCCCCAAAGAUCAAGAAUCAAGCUCUUAAGUCAAGAUUUCCAAGAAAACCAAUCAAUAUUCGAGUUCUAUCCUUCGAACUAAGUAAUCUGAGGUACGUGGGGUUUUCCUAAACUACAUGGGUAUGGUGAAAUCUUUUUAAUAAUGUUUUGAAUGUUGAUAAUUGAUAUAUUUACUAAGGGUUUGAAUUUACAAUAACUCAUGUAUGGUGAAUCCUUUUGACGAUAAUGCUUUGGUCUUGAGACCUCCCUCUUAAAUUUGAUUUUUUAUUUAUGUAUAUAUAUGUGUGUAUGCGUUCGACGUUUUGAAAAGUAUAAAUGGAGAUCAUGAAUAACGAAUUUUUCUCCCAUGGUGUUAUUUCUUGAUUGACAAGGAUUACUCAAUUGCAUAUCUUAAAGCAUGAACCAAGGGUUUUACUAUCAUAUAUGAAUUUUAUGUCAAUUGUGAAUUGAAGAGAGAGAUAUUUCUUGUUUGUAAAGGCUGAAUGUGAUAAUCGAAAGAAUUGAAUGGUUAUUUUGAUAAAUUGACCACCAUUUGUUGAAAUGUUGAAAAAGGAAGAUUUUUGCCUAGUUUGACAUAUAUUUUGGAAAUAUGAGUUCUCUUGUACUGUUUGAAUGUUUUGGUGCUCUAAACAUUGUUUUGAAUGAAAGAGCUGUAACAUGAUAUUUUAUGGCUUAGAAUAUAUGACUUGCAAGUCUUGGUAUGACGAUACCAAAACAGAUAAUGCUAUAACAAACUCAAAAUAGAACAUAAGUCAGAUUUUACUCGGAUUUUCAUCAUUUGAUUUCAGAAAGAUGGAUAUUUUAAAAUGUAAAAAUGGGCUUAAGAGAUGUUAGGUGGUUACCCGAAGAAGGCACGAGUUCAGAUAACUCAUUGUCCAAAAUCGUGUUUUGCCGAUAUGGGUUAUUAUGUCCCCAAGAGGUAUUAUACACUGGCCUAGUGCCCUGUGGCGUAUGAAAAUCAGAAACUCCAACCUUUGCGACAAACUUGGUUUAGGGGCUUGGCGGCCGAGUCAAGGGCGUAUUCCAUAUAGUCCGUGGAAUAUCAUACUUUUAGGGUGUACCACCUAGUUCAGAAGUAAGACAAAGAUGUCUAGUUGAGUUUUACAGAAACGUUUUAAAAGCCUAAUGGUUAUGCCCAUGGAUUUUUGAAUGUCUUAGAUGGCAUACUUUUCAUGAAAUGCUCUCACUUACUUUACAUAUCAGUAAUUUGUUUUAUUUUUGGAUUUUCUGCGUACCAGUACGACUGUAUUGACCCCCUAUAUUUCAAGAUUUGAGGCAUAGUCUUGGGGUCCCGCUAAGUUGUAGAUUGUUUGUCCGAAGUUUGCAGUUGGUGAGCCUCCCUUAUUUUGGAAGGUCUUGGGUAUUGGAUAUUACUAUUUUGUUUGAUCCAUGGUCCGACUAGGGCCUUGUCCCAGUUUUUAGACGUAUAUUGAUUUUUGUAUUGUUAGAGAUUUCGCAGACUGGUGUCAUGUGUUUUGAAUGUUAAGAACUUCUUUUAGAACAGUUUACUUAUGAGAUUGACCAUGUUUUUGUAUGAUAAUUUUUCGCAUUUUCUUAUUGUAUAAACAUUGUGCAUAAUUGCCAGAUAGAGAGGGGCACUCGGGCCUUCAUGGUUCGGGAUGUCCGUUAUGGCCAGGGCCUCGAUUCGGGUCGUGACAGAAUAAUGUUCAACUGUUUCUUGAGCAUUACUGUAGCAAUAACAAUAAACAACUUCGUCAACCACUUUGAUUUUCACUCACUUCUUUAAUGAGAAUUCUAUGCGUCCAAAGUUUCCAAAAAAGGAACAAUACUUUGAAAGAAAUUCUUUUUUCUUAUAUAUUCAGAGUCAAUUCCUGAGGUUCACUUCUAUGUCUCAAUAGUUCCCAAGCACUCCCAAGAACUUUUCCCAUUUGAUACACACUGAUGCAAAAGAAAUAAAUGAAUUAUUUAUACUUGCAACUGAUGCUAGAAUGUACUAUGUUGAUGAUCCAAUUAUUGAAGAAUGGUGUGAUGUUUGUCUUAUGAAACUGAGACAUCUAUGAUAUGGCAUAUCUGGAUUUUAUGUAUUUAGAGGAGCCAUCAAUAGGGGACAUACCUUUUCAUGAGCAAUAUUUAGAAGUCUCAUUCUAGAAGAAUAUGAAGCAAAAACGCAAGAAGUCAACACACUCGUUAUUAGCAAGUUUAUGAGGACGAAAAACUGACAACAAUAACACAACUUCUCAAAGUUUAAAUCAAUUAGAUGACCAAGUUGUAAAUAAAAAUGUAACAACUCCUACUUUUGAUGAUGACAAUUUAAUUUCCUCUUCAAGCUUUAAUAAAGCUAGCUCUCAAAUGAAAGAGGAGUCCUUACUUGUCUA